rnacentral:rRNA from 1 species
UACGGAGGGUGCGAGCGUUGUCCGGAAUCACUGGGCGUAAAGGGCGCGUAGGCGGCCGUGUAAGUCACUUGUGAAAUCCCGGGGCUCAACUCCGGGGCUGCAGGUGAGACUGCAUGGCUAGAGCUCGGUAGAGGCAAGUGGAAUUCCCGGUGUAGCGGUGGAAUGCGUAGAUAUCGGGAAGAACACCGGUGGCGAAGGCGGCUUGCUGGGCCGUAGCUGACGCUGAGGCGCGAAAGCGUGGGGAGCGAACAGG